CCUACGGGGGGCAGCAGUGGGGGAUAUUGCACAAUGGGGGAAACCCUGAUGCAGCGACGCCGCGUGUGGGAAGACGGUCCUCUGAUUUGUAAACCACUGUCCCCAGGGACGAAGAUGACGGUACCUGGGGAGGAAGCUCCGGCUAACUACGUGCCAGCAGCCGCGGUAAUACGUAGGGAGCGAGCGUUGUCCGGAAUUACUGGGUGUAAAGGGAGCGUAGGCGGGACUGCAAGUUGGGUGUCAAAUCUACCGGCUCAACCGGUAGCCGCACUCAAAACUGCAGAUCUUGAGUGAAGUAGAGGCAGGCGGAAUUCCUAGUGUAGCGGUGAAAUGCUUAGAUAUUGCGCAGAACUCCGAUUGCGAAGGCAGCAUACCGGCGGCGAUCUGACGCUGAGGCACGAAAGCGUGGGUAUCGAACAGGAUUAGAUACCCUGGUAGUC
rnacentral:rRNA from 1 species